UAAUGUGUCUCGGCUAAGGUGUCUUGGCUAAGGUGUCUUGGCUAAGGUGUCUUGGCUAAGGUGUCUUGGCUAAUGUGUCUUGGCUAAUGUGUCUCGGCUAAAGUGUCUUGGCUAAGGUGUCUUGGCUAAGGUGUCUUGGCUAAUGUGUCUUGGCUAAGGUGUCUUGGCUAAGGUGUCUUGGCUAAGGUGUCUUGGCUAAUGUGUCUUGGCUAAGGUGUCUUGGCUAAGGUGUCUUGGCUAAGGUGUCUCGGCUAAGGUGUCUUGGCUAAUGUGUCUUGGCUAAGGUGUCUUGGCUAAGGUGUCUCGGCUAAUGUGUCUUGGCUAAUGUGUCUUGGCUAAGGUGUCUUGGCUAAUGUGUCUUGGCUAUUGUGUCUUGGCUAAGGUGUCUUGGCUAAUGUGUCUUGGCUAAUGUGUCUUGGCUAAGGUGUCUUGGCUAAGGUGUCUUGGCUAAGGUGUCUUGGCUAAGGUGUCUUGGCUAAGGUGUCUUGGCUAAGGUGUCUUGGCUAAGGUGUCUUGGCUAAUGUGUCUUGGCUAAGGUGUCUUGGCUAAGGUGUCUUGGCUAAGGUGUCUUGGCUAAGGUGUCUUGGCUAAUAUGUCUUGGCUAAUGUGUCUCGGCUAAGGUGUCUUGGCUAAAGUGUCUUGGCUAAUGUGUCUCGGCUAAGGUGUCUUGGCUAAUGUGUCUUGGCUAAGGUGUCUUGGCAAAGGUGUCUUGGCUAAGGUGUCUUGGCUAAUGUGUCUUGGCUAAAGUGUCUUGGCUAAUGUGUCUCGGCUAAGGUGUCUUGGCUAAGGUGUCUUGGCUAAGAUGUCUUGGCUAAUGUGUCUCGGCUAAAGUGUCUUGGCUAAGGUGUCUUGGCUAAGGUGUCUUGGCUAAUGUGUCUCGGCUAAGGUGUCUUGGCUAAGGUGUCUUGGCUAAGGUGUCUUGGCUAAUGUGUCUCGGCUAAGGUGUCUCGGCUAAGGUGUCUUGGCUAAGGUGUCUUGGCUAAUGUGUCUUGGCUAAGGUGUCUUGGCUAAGGUGUCUUGGCUAAUGUGUCUUGGCUAAGGUGUCUUGGCUAAUGUGUCUUGGCUAAGGUGUCUUGGCUAAUGUGUCUCGGCUAAGGUGUCUUGGCUAAGGUGUCUUGGCUAAUGUGUCUUGGCUAAGGUGUCUUGGCUAAUGUGUCUCGGCUAAGGUGUCUUGGCUAAUGUGUCUUGGCUAAUGUGUCUCGGCUAAGGUGUCUUGGCUAAAGUGUCUUGGCUAAUGUGUCUCGGCUAAGGUGUCUUGGCUAAUGUGUCUCGGCUAAAGUGUCUUGGCUAAUGUGUCUUGGCUAAGGUGUCUUGGCUAAAGUGUCUUGGCUAAUGUGUCUCGGCUAAGGUGUCUUGGCUAAUGUGUCUCGGCUAAUGUGUCUUGGCUAAGGUGUCUUGGCUAAUGUGUCUUGGCUAAUGUGUCUCGGCUAAUGUGUCUUGGCUAAGGUGUCUUGGCUUAGGUGUCUUGGCUAAUGUGUCUUGGCUAAUGUGUCUCGGCUAAAGUGUCUUGGCUAAGGUG